UGUAUAGCCUAAAGUGGUCAAGGGACUUCAUGGUUCGAGUUUAAUUUGUAGAGUUGGGUGAGUUUAUGCAUCUUUGUCAGCAUUACAAAGGAUCCAUUAGCCCCUGUGGCUAAUUAAUAGAGGUGAGAGGAAUACUGGCUCCCUUCCGAUGCCUGUGUGAGGUUUGCAUAGCUGGGGAUGAGGUUUGCCUGGCUUUCAGUGGCAGAGCUGUGUCCAUUAACUUUGAAAAUGAAGCUCAUUGUUUAUUAUACAGAGUAAUUGCAGGUGUGGACUUUGACGCUCUGCUGUGUGCACUGACAGAUUAAUCUGCACAUAAAUCUGGAGUAGUUAAGCACACUGUUAUUUACCUUGACUUGAUUUGGGUUCAGCUGUGCUUGGCGGAUUUGUUUCCUUGUAGUCAUGCCAUCAACAGACUCCCCCAAUCCCUUUGGAAGUAUUUUGAUAACUAGUUUGAAGAUGCUAAAUCUAGUCUGUCACAGAAAUAUACAUGUCAUGAGGACACUAGGCUUGAUUAUGUAAGAUUAAGCUGGCAUGUUAAAAACCAUAUUAAGAACCUGAAUGAAGAAGACUAGCCUGAUAGACGGUACUAAAGCUAAUGCUAUGGAAGAGGAUCUUCAUGUUUAGUCCUUAUAAAUCCAUAGAAUUAUAGCAGCUCCCAUGGGAGAAUAAAAAGAGAAAAAGGCUGGCAUUCUGUAUUGCAGUUAAUGGAUUCGUAAUCUACAGUUGCAGAUCUGUUUUAGCUCCAAGUGCACUAAAAUCAUGUAGCCACAAUCGUGGCAUUAUUGCUAUGAUCAUAAUGCCCUCCCAGACAUACUUUACCAAGUAUCAACUACUGGACCUAUUCAGCCAGUGAUCAGGAAAUAGGACUAUGAAGUUUCCACCCCUCUGCUGCCAGUGAAUGAGUUGUGACAAUCAGGAGCAGGACCCCCAUUGCAAUUCCAUGUGGCAGAUUCAUUCACUGGCAAGAGAUAAAGAUAAUCAAGAGUGCUAGGUACUAUUUUCUGUAUCUUCACUACUCUCUCAUGAUCUGCUCCCAGAAUUCCUGACCAUUGGACAAGCUGGCUUUUGGGAUUUGGAGACCCAAAGACCUGGAGCACCACAGAUUGUGCAGGAAAGGAAGGUGUUAGACAUGACCACAGCAUACUCUAGUGCAGUGCUUUUCAAACUAUCUGAUGGACUGAUAGCCCUCCCUGGAUCUUCCUAUGCAGAAGAGGCGCCUCCAGUCCCUUCCAGUAACCGUGAUGGAAGAAUGCUGCACCAACUGAACACUGUUGGAGGAAGUCAGGGCUGCCACUGGGUCAGAGCCAGGCCGCUUGGAGAGAGACACCAAAGGAAGAAGAGGAUAGUGCCACAGUUGCCAAGUCAAGCUGGUCAAGCCAAGCUGAUACCCAGUCACUCAAGUACCACCACCAGUUCUACAUAGAAGGCACCUGACAUAUUUUUUUAGAGAGAUCAACAGGAAGAGAAUGAGGGAUAGAUGGUUGGGAGAAGUUAGAAGAUUAAUGACUGGGGUGAGAGAAUGGGGUGCUGGUGGGACUAGCAAGGGCAUGAAUACAUGUGUGUCUUGGGUGCAGGGAGAAAGAAAUAGAGAGAGAUCUGUGUUGGGAGGGGAGAACAUUUGCUACCAGGGGUCCUGGGUCAUAAAAUAUGAAGAACAUCCUUGAACAUUUCAUUCGGCUUGUUAUUGCCUUAUCAAUUUCUUACAUCUUGUAACAAUAGAUUGCUAAUUUGUCUAACAUAAUAGAAUAUAUGAAUAAGAGAGAUAGAAAAUGAUAUUACCAAAAUCAAUGUCCCUAUAAUAGCCCUGAGGAAGUUAUGCCACUAUCUUAUUGGGUAGAGGCUGGCAAUAACAAGCCCAUGAAUGGCAUAUAUUGGAGCCCCCAGAUGGCGUAGUGGACUAAGUGACUUGAAGGUUGGGUUGCUGACCUGAAAGCUGCCAGGUUCGAAUCCCACCUGGGGAGAGUGUGGAUGAGCUUCCUCUAUCAGCUCCAGCUCCAUGCGGGGACAUGAGAGAAGCCUCCCACAAGGAUGGUAAAAACAUCAAAAAACAUCCGGGCGUCCUCUGGGCAACGUCCUUGCAGACGGCCAAUUCUCUCACUCCAGAAGCAACUCCGGUUGCUCCUGACACGAAAAAAAAAAUGGCAUAUAAUCCCACAACCUUUUUUAUGAUAACCUGCUUCAUGUGAUUCUUUUGCUUUUUAAUUUAUUUUGUGGUUAGAAAACUGCUGAUAUUGAUUAGAACUGCAGAACCAGAAGUCCAAAUAUAGCCAGUAUUUGAAAUGCACACAAACACCCAAAAACACAGCAUAGUGUUUCUAGCAAGCUAUGUUAGAUUGCCUGAGUUCAAGCUACAAAGGAAUAGAAUCCAGAUGCUUCCCUCAGUUUAGCUAAAUUUAUAGAAACUUGGUUUACUUUCUUUGAAAUUCUUCUCAUGUGUGACCCAAGACAAUCUAUUAUGUGAGUUAAAGGACAAAAUGCCCUCCAGACCUGUUACCCGUACAGAAGUCAAAUGGACUGGCACACAUUCAAAUCAAGCAUCAGCAUAGGUAAUGGGGUGAUGUCCUUCACUGUUCCAAAAGACAGCAGAGUAGUUUAGGGGUUGUGUGCAGGACAGGCUUGUGAUAAACUCACCUUUGCCUCCAGUGUCUUCCCCCUGCUCCCCAGCCCUCAGUACAUAUUAUUGGAAGUAGUGACCUCUCUUUGCUUAAUGGUUGACCCAGUCAUGUCAUUCUUGCAAACUCAAUUUGACAUUCUGCUUGAGGUACAAUGUGGUGUCAGUUUGACUGUGAAAUGCUCCCCCUACACACCUACACUGACAUUUAGAUGUGUACAACAGAGCUCUAGUAUUCCCAUUUUUCCCACUCCACAGUAAUAAUAGAUUACUGUGUUAGGUAUGCGUGCUGACAGCCUUGCUGUUGAGUGGGUUAGAGGGGAAGGAAGUAAUAUGUUCAUUGAAGAAAUUGAAUUUGCACUGGAAAAUAUUUAUUUGUUCUCAGGUGUGUUUCUUAAUAAAGGUUGCUUCCCCAUUAAAAUCUCCUCUUGGUGCUUUGUCGGUUGCACUUCUCUUGAAAUGCAGAACAAUUCCCAUUUCUCUCAUAAAACAAUAUCCUCUUAAUUGCCUCAGAGAUCAUAUCUGGAUUGUGGUAUGUCAGGUACGUGCCUUUUGAGUACCAAGUAUUGAAAUCAAAAUCAAAUCAUGCCUUUGC